rnacentral:rRNA from 1 species
UGACUGCUAUUAAAGUGGCUAAGGCCAUGAACAUGGAUGGACCUGCGGUGCAUUAGCUAGUUGGUGAGGUAACGGCCCACCAAGGCGACGAUGCAUAGCCGGCCUGAGAGGGCGGACGGCCACAUUGGGACUGAGACACGGCCCAAACUCCUACGGGAGGCAGCAGUAGGGAAUUUUCGUCAAUGGGGGGAACCCUGAACGAGCAAUGCCGCGUGAGUGAGGAAGGUCUUCGGAUCGUAAAGCUCUGUUGUAAGAGAAAAACGACAUUCAUAGGGAAUGAUGAGUGAGUGAUGGUAUCUUACCAGAAAGUCACGGCUAACUACGUGCCAGCAGCCGCGGUAAUACGUAGGUGGCGAGCGUUAUCCGGAAUGAUUGGGCGUAAAGGGUGCGUAGGUGGCAGAACAAGUCUGGAGUAAAAGGUAUGGGCUCAACCCGUACUGGCUCUGGAAACUGUUCAGCUAGAGAACAGAAGAGGACGGCGGAACUCCAUGUGUAGCGGUAAAAUGCGUAGAUAUAUGGAAGAACACCGGUGGCGAAGGCGGCCGUCUGGUCUGUUGCUGACACUGAAGCACGAAAGCGUGGGGAGCAAAUAGGAUUAGAUACCCUAGUAGUCCACGCCGUAAACGAUGAGAACUAGG